AAUAGAUACCCUGGUAGUCCAUGCCGUAAACGAUGUCUACUAGCCGUUGGGGCCCUUGAGGCUUUAGUGGCGCAGCUAACGCGAUAAGUAGACCGCCUGGGGAGUACGGUCGCAAGACUAAAACUCAAAUGAAUUGACGGGGGGCCCGCACAAGCGGUGGAGCAUGUGGUUUAAUUCGAUGCAACGCGAAGAACCUUACCUGGCCUUGACAUACAGAGAACUUUCCAGAGAUGGAUUGGUGCCUUCGGGAACUCUGAUACAGGUGCUGCAUGGCUGUCGUCAGCUCGUGUCGUGAGAUGUUAGGUUAAGUCCCGCAACGAGCGCAACCCUUUUUCCUUAUUUGCCAGCACUUCGGGUUGGGAACUUUAAGGAUACUGCCAGUGACAAACUGGAGGAAGGCGGGGACGACGUCAAGUCAUCAUGGCCCUUACGGCCAGGGCUACACACGUGCUACAAUGGUCGGUACAAAGGGUUGCUACUGCGCGAGCAGAUGCUAAUCUCAAAAAGCCGAUCGUAGUCCGGAUCGC
rnacentral:rRNA from 1 species